GGGGGGUGGAGCGGCCAGCGCCGGUCGUAGCGCAUGGCCUCCGCCAUGAUCUGGCCGCGUGUGCUCUGGAGACACUGCAGUGCUCCCUGACAUGAACUCCGGACUAUAUUUCUCGGAAAAAUAAGGUGUUAGAGGGGAAUAAGGGAAAAGCACUUUGACUGAGCGUGAACCACAGAAGUUGGAAACAUUCAGUUUUCCAUGCAGAAUCCUUUUUCUAUUGUACUUGAUUGGGAUAAGAAAGGAUAAAAGAGAUAACAGCAACAAGACACCCACGAGUUACUGCCUCCUUAUCGGAAAAGACAAACAUGCUUCCACCUCCUCUCUGUCUUUAAGGAGCCACGAGGAUUAAGGGGAAGAAGUUGACGAUAACCAGAGGACACCCUAUUUUGAAAAGAAUUUAUGCAUCAUGUAUGAGAUAUAUGAAUAUGCAACAGGCAACUGCUUAUAAACGUUAA